rnacentral:rRNA from 1 species
UCUUGGUCAUUUAGAGGAAGUAAAAGUCGUAACAAGGUUUCCGUAGGUGAACCUGCGGAAGGAUCAUUAAUGAAUUUUGCACGAUUAGAGUUGAGCUGGUUAACCUAGUUAACAAGUGCUCAUUCUAAUUGACAAAUCCAAUCAUUAUUUAACACCUGUGAACUUAUCUAUUAUAAACAUUAUAAUAUGUCAUUGGAACGUUUGAUUAUAAUAAGUUAAUACAACUUUCAACAACGGAUCUCUUGGCUCUCGCAUCGAUGAAGAACGCAGCGAAAUGCGAUAAGUAAUGUGAAUUGCAGAAUUCAGUGAAUCAUCAAAUCUUUGAACGCACCUUGCGCUCCCUGGUAUUCCGGGGAGCAUGCCUGUUUGAGUGUCGUGAAGUCAUCAUGGUCAUGAUCUUUAAUUAAUCAUGGCUUGGAUUUGGAGGUUAUGUUGGCUUUCAGUCGACUCCUCUUAAAUGCAUUAGCUCAGUGUUUAAUGCUUAGAGCGGUUCACAGUGUGAUAAAUUAUCUACACUUCAACUAAUCCAAGUUAGCUGGCUUCUAAUAGAUCCUUUGUGAUCACUUUGUGUAUUUGACCUCAAAUCAGGUAGGACUACCCGCUGAACUUAAGCAUAUCAAUAAGCGGAGGAA